GAAAUGCGAUAAUUAAUGUGAAUUGCAGAAUUCAGUGAAUCAUCGAGUCUUUGAACGCACAUUGCGCCCCCUGGUAUUCCCGGGGGCAUGCCUGUCCGAGCGUCAUUGCUGCCCUCAAACACGGCUUGUGUGUUGGGCUUCCGUCCCUGGCAACGGGGACGGGCCCAAAAGGCAGUGGCGGCACCAUGUCUGGUCCUCGAGCGUAUGGGGCUUUGUCACCCGCUCCCGUAGGUCCAGCUGGCAGCUAGCCUCGCAACCAAUCUUUUUAACCAGGUUGACCUCGGAUCAGGUAGGGAUACCCGCUGAACUUAAGC
rnacentral:misc_RNA from 1 species